UGGCGACCGGCGCACGGUGAGUAACGCGUAUGCAACUUACCUAUCAGAGGGGGAUAGCCCGGCGAAAGUCGGAUUAAUACCCCAUGAAACAGGGGUCCCGCAUGGGAAUAUUUGUUAAAGAUUCAUCGCUGAUAGAUAGGCAUGCGUUCCAUUAGGCAGUUGGCGGGGUAACGGCCCACCAAACCGACGAUGGAUAGGGGUUCUGAGAGGAAGGUCCCCCACAUUGGUACUGAGACACGGUCCAA
rnacentral:rRNA from 1 species